rnacentral:rRNA from 1 species
UACGUAGGCAGCAAGCGUUGUUCGGAGUUACUGGGCGUAAAGGGUGCGUAGGUGGCUCUAUAAGUAUGGUGUGAAAUCUCCCGGCUUAACUGGGAGGGUGCGCCGUAGACUGUGGGGCUAGAGUGUGGGAGAGGAAAGUGGAAUUCCUGGUGUAGCGGUGAAAUGCGUAGAUAUCAGGAGGAACACCGGUGGCGAAGGCGGGUCUCUGGGCCGGAACUGACGCUGAGGAGCGAAAGCGUGGGGAGCGAACAGG